UACGGAGGGUGCAAGCGUUAUCCGGAUUCACUGGGUUUAAAGGGUGCAUAGGUGGGCAGGUAAGUCAGUGGUGAAAUCUCCGGGCUUAACCCGGAAACUGCCAUUGAUACUAUCUGUCUUGAAUACCGUGGAGGUGAGCGGAAUAUGUCAUGUAGCGGUGAAAUGCUUAGAUAUGACAUAGAACACCAAUUGCGAAGGCAGCUCACUACACGAAUAUUGACACUGAGGCACGAAAGCGUGGGGAUCAAACAGG
rnacentral:rRNA from 1 species